AGAGUAGUUGGGAAAAGUUCCAAGGCCUCUGAGUGUAUGUGGGAGUGGUUGUGUGAAAUGCUAAUUCCUGCUAUUGCUUGGCAGCCUUUCUGGAAACUGUGAUGACAGCUACUGGUGGGAAAAAUCACUCGGGAACAGAGCCAUAGCCCUGCUUCUAGGUAACUGGCUAUCACCUGAACCGUUCCUUAGGACAGACUACUGCUGAUUCCUUGCUUUCUGCCUCUCUUGCUCAUGUGAUAAAGUGAGAGCAUUACUUUCCUUGUUUGACAUCUUCUGUUUUGGAUAGAGAAGGAUCCAUGUUUCUUUCUUUCUUUUUUUUUCCUCUUUUCCUUUUUUUCUUUUGAGACACGGUUUCACUAUGUAGCCCAGGCUGGCCUGGAACUUAUGUGUAGACCAGGCUAGCCUUCCAUUCCCAGCAACACUUUUUCUGUCCUGUCUCUGCCUCCUGAGAGCUGGGAUUAUAGAUGGACGUUGUCAUGCUCAGCUGAGAAGUUCAUUUUCUAAGAGCAGUGACUCCAAGCCAGGCCUCAUGGUGAUGGGUCUUUAAUCCCAGUAUACCCAUUUAAUCUCAAUACUUGGGAGGCAGAAGCAGGUAGAUCUCUGAAUUUGAGGCUAGUUUGGUCAAACCCUGUCUUGAGAAAGAAAAACAACAACAGCUCUCGGUUUUAGCGCCAUCUUCCUUGAGACUCCUGAGCCAUAAGAGCGAAGUGGCAGAAGAAGAUAAUGUGCAGGCUGAAGCGCAAGAGAAGAUAAGGCAGUGGUCCAAGUUAGCCAGCCGGUGCAGCCACGACGCCUGCAGGAGCAGAAGUGAGGGAUGCUGAGGGCCGGGACGCCGGGACAAGCUAUCGGACUGUGUGCUGCCAUUGGUAAUGAGUCUCAGUAGAACUGGAAUGUCACCUCGCCACGAUCGCCUGGAGAAAUGACCUCCUUUCUUAUAACCAAAACAGUCCCGCUGGCCCUCUGCCCUGGACCCCCGGCACUCUGGACUAGCUCUGUUCUCUUGUGGCUAAGUGUAGCUCGUGUACAAUAAACCCUCUUGCAGUCAGCUGAAAAAAAAAAAAGGAAAAGAAAAAGAAAAACAACAACAACAACAAUAGCGACAGCAGCAGCAGCAGCAGCAAUCAGAACAACAGCAACAGAGCAGAGAAUCAGUAAAGCCACAAUCUUGACGUUAACCAGAGAGCUCACUGAAGAAUUAAGAGCCCUGGACAGGAGGUCAAGUCCACAGAGAAGACACAGUUUUUUUAUUUUCCUAAGACAGGGUUUCUCUGUGUAGCCCUGGCUGCUCUGGAACUCUCUUUGUAGACCAGGCUGGCCUCGAACUCAGAAAUCUGUCUGCCUCUGCCUCCCAAGUGCUGGGAUUAAAGGCGUGCGCCACCACGCCGGGCCUUAUUUUGGUUUUUUCAAGACAGGGUUUCUCUGUGUAAUCUUGGCUGUCCUGGAGCUCACUCUGUAGACCAGGCCGGCCUCAAACUCAGAGAUCUGCCUGUCUCUGCCUCCCAAGUGCUGGGAUUAAAGGUGUGUGCUAGCAUGCCUAUCGACAAAUUUUAUUUGUAAAAAAAUAUACAAAAUGCAAUUGUUGGUGUACAACAAAUGGUUUGCUUGCACCUAUGUCUGUACACAGUAUAUGUGCUGUGCCUGGGAGACCAGAAGAUCUACUGCAACUGCAGUUCCAUGUGGAUGUAAGCUGGCAUGUGAUGCUGAGACUAGAACAUAGGUCCCCUGGAGGAGAAGCCAAUGCUCUUAACCCCCAAGUCAUAUCUCCAAUUCCUAACAUAAUAAAACAGCAGCAACAGCAGCAGCAAC
rnacentral:lncRNA from 1 species